rnacentral:rRNA from 1 species
GACGAACGCUGGCGGCGUGCUUAACACAUGCAAGUCGAACGGAAAGGCCCUGCUUUUGUGGGGUGCUCGAGUGGCGAACGGGUGAGUAACACGUGAGUAACCUGCCCUUGACUUUGGGAUAACUUCAUGAAACUGGGGCCAAUACCGGAUAGGAGCUCCUGCUGCAUGGUGGGGGUUGGAAAGUUUCGGCGGUUGGGGAUGGACUCGCGGCUUAUCAGCUUGUUGGUGGGGUAGUGGCUUACCAAGGCUUUGACGGGUAGCCGGCCUGAGAGGGUGACCGGCCACAUUGGGACUGAGAUACGGCCCAGACUCCUACGGGAGGCAGCAGUGGGGAAUAUUGCACAAUGGGCGGAAGCCUGAUGCAGCAACGCCGCGUGCGGGAUGACGGCCUUCGGGUUGUAAACCGCUUUCGCCUGUGACGAAGCGUGAGUGACGGUAAUGGGUAAAGAAGCACCGGCUAACUACGUG